CUGCCACUCGCUGUUGUCCCAGCAGCCAGCCCCCGCCUCCCUUCUCAGGAAGCUCGGGUCUCCCUGGGAGCCUGGCUGCCCUUGGGGGAGGCCUCUGAGCUGUGUGCCCUGCAGCUCCGCUAGCUUUCGGGGUGACAUUAGAGGGGCUCUGCGCCCCCCGCGUGGCUCGCGCUAAGCCCAACAGGAGGGAGCCUCUCGGCGGAGGAGUGAGGAGGACGGGAGGGAGAGGCGCGCCAGAGCCUCGGUCCCGGGCGCCCUGGUCGGCCGCGGAGGAACUGCAGCCUCCAACAGGAAGUUAAGCAUCUCUGCUGUGCUAUCUACUCUGCUUGGUGUCUGACUCUCCUGCAUCCCAGCUCAUCCAGGAAGCACAGGUAAGGGCACUGCCCAAGGUCAUAACCACUCCGGGAGCCUCUGGCCUGGGACUAAGAUGGCAGAGGGGGGG
rnacentral:lncRNA from 1 species